rnacentral:rRNA from 1 species
GACGAACGCUGGCGGCGUGCCUAAUACAUGCAAGUAGAACGCACAGUUUAUACCGUAGCUUGCUACACCAUAGACUGUGAGUUGCGAACGGGUGAGUAACGCGUAGGUAACCUGCCUGGUAGCGGGGGAUAACUAUUGGAAACGAUAGCUAAUACCGCAUAAUAUUAAUUAUUGCAUGAUAAUUGAUUGAAAGAUGCAACUGCAUCACUACCAGAUGGACCUGCGUUGUAUUAGCUAGUAGGUGAGGUAACGGCUCACCUAGGCGACGAUACAUAGCCGACCUGGGAGGGUGAUCGGCCACACUGGGACUGGGACACGGGCCAGGCUCCUACGGGGGGCAGCAGUAGGGAAUCUUCGGCAAUGGGCGAAAGGCUGACCGAGCAACGCCGCGUGAGUGAAGAAGGUUUUCGGAUCGUAAAGCUCUGUUGUAAGAGAAGAACGGGUGUGAGAGUGGAAAGUUCACACUGUGACGGUAUCUUACCAGAAAGGGACGGCUAACUACGUG